rnacentral:rRNA from 1 species
UGGGGAAUUUUGGACAAUGGGGGAAACCCUGAUCCAGCCAUCCCGCGUGUGCGAUGAAGGCCUUCGGGUUGUAAAGCACUUUUGGCAGGAAAGAAACGUCGCGGGUUAAUACCCCGCGAAACUGACGGUACCUGCAGAAUAAGCACCGGCUAACUACGUGCCAGCAGCCGCGGUAAUACGUAGGGUGCAAGCGUUAAUCGGAAUUACUGGGCGUAAAGCGUGCGCAGGCGGUUCGGAAAGAAAGAUGUGAAAUCCCAGAGCUUAACUUUGGAACUGCAUUUUUAACUACCGGGCUAGAGUGUGUCAGAGGGAGGUGGAAUUCCGCGUGUAGCAGUGAAAUGCGUAGAUAUGCGGAGGAACACCGAUGGCGAAGGCAGCCUCCUGGGAUAACACUGACGCUCAUGCACGAAAGCGUGGGGAGCAAACGUAUUAGAUACCCUGGUAGUCCACGCCCUAAACGAUGUCAACUAGCUGUUGGGGCCCUUCGGGCCUUGGUAGCGCAGCUAACGCGUGAAGUUGACCGCCU